rnacentral:tRNA from 1 species
AGGAGCAUAGUUCAAAGGUAGAAUAGCGGUCUCCAAAACCGUUGAUGUGAGUUCGAGUCUUACUGCUCCUGCCA